rnacentral:lncRNA from 1 species
UUCCUUGAUUGCUCAAAGUGCUGUCUUGUAUCACAGAACCUGGGAGAAGUUGUUACCGGUACGUCUACUUUAUGCAAGUGCAGGAUGAAGAUGCUGACCACCAGAGACAUCUGCUAGUGUUAGCCAUGAUGCUCUGCCACUGUGGUCAAGAGCUUUAGACUGCAUUUGCUCUAUGAAAAAUGUUUCAAAUGAAGGGAAAAAAAAAAAUACAGCACAAUUAUCUUAUUAAUCUGAUCAACUCAAGGGACCAAUGAAGAAAAAAAAAAAUCAAAAUCACCUACCAUACUUCUUAAAUCUCACCUGUUCAGUCUGUUUGAGAAAAUAAGGCCUCUGAGUGUGACUUAAGGGGACUUUCGAUUCUUGGCUGGUUUUUGUUUAAUUAGAAAAUUGUUUAAUGUAUUCAGGAAUUUGUGUAAAUAUCUUUUUUUUUUUUUUUUUUUUUUUACCAACUCUAAUAAUGGACAGAGUUGUAGGCAAAAUCAACAUUCAGCUUCCAAGUCUCUGGAAAAACUUGACAAGGACAGAAGGAAAAAGAUCUGUAAAAAGCAGCAAGGGCAAUGGUGGAAGGCAAUGAACAGCAGAGGCAAAUUAUUUAGUGCAGUAGCUUUAUCUUUAAAGCUAAAACUACUUUCCACCACGCUCAACCUCUUUUUACUUCACGCACGAUGAUCACUUUGCUGCAUUCUUUGGAUAUUUCUGUUCUAUUUCAUACAAAUUUCCUGUAGAUGGGGAUUAGGCCAUUUCAAUCACGACCUGCUCACACAACAAUUACUCAGGCAAAAGAGCUAUUAAAAUCAGUGGGAGAGUUUGGCCCGUUUAGACAAUGUGGAAUAAAAUCUAUUUACCCCCGGCAUUUUCCUAAACCUAUGUUGUUACAGGUACUGAAAGGAAUCUUUUACUGUGCAGGGUUUCAUAGAUGCCAAUCUCAUCUGUAAGAGACUGCUACGUUGGGAACAGAUCAAAAUGAUUUGGGGCAAGAGCAAUGCCCAGAGCUCUCAAGGUGAGAAUGUGGUGUCACACCUGCAGCGUCACUAACCUCCCUGCACCUGGAUCCCCACCUGCCUUGGGUCUGCUUACUGAGGCUGGUACUUCUUCAGAGAGGAAACAGUGUUUGUCUACACUACAAACAGGCCUGCCACUACCAGCCAGGCUGGGCUCUUUCCUUCUCAUGCAAAUGCUACACGGGAAGGGUGUGAGCAGAGCAGGGAGCCACAGGAGACAGCUUCCCCAGGCCAAACUGGAACUUCACUAACAGCUAAUACAGCGGACAAGGCUGAAGAGUUCAGAGAAUUCACGGACAAUGUAAAUGAGGGAAGUCACCCGACGUGGGCAAAGGCUCAUUUUUCUAAUAGAACAGAAGAACGUUGGCUUUCAAAACCCAGAACAGCAUAAGCUUUGGGAGAAAAGGGAGGGAGCCAAAGCCGGCCUUACUGCUGCCUCAGAUAUAGUGCUCCUCUUUCAUUAUCAGAGAAAAUCUUCCCAUUAAAUGCCAGCAGUCAUACAUGUAUUUAUGCAUUGAUAUUUCUAGAUGAGAGAGAUGCCCUCCUUUCUGGCAGUGUAAAAAUCAGAUUGUGUCUUUACAGUAACAUAAAUGUCUAAGAAGAUAUUUCCCAAACAGCCCAAAGCAGAUGGAUGACUAAAACUUGCCCAAAACAUUUAUUGAAACAAAACUCCAUCAGAAGCAGAACACUCAGAGCUCACAGUGGCCAGCACUUUAAAAAAGCAUAAGUAUUCAUAACUGCAGCUGCUCAGAAGUUUCCCAGUAUCUCAGAUUCACUCAAGGUUCGCAUAAGAGAUUUUCUUGUGGCUUACAGUUUGAGUAUUUAGUGAGCUGCAUUCUGAUACGGAGCUCAAGAAGAAACAAAUCACAUCACUCUGUAAGCAGCUCUGAAACCAAAUCCUUUGAGCAUUGCCCAUCACUUGAACUCUCUCACCACAUAGUUCUUCUGCAAAUAGCCUUUGUUACUAAAGUCACAGUUAAAUAGUGAUCCUAUUUGUCAUUUACACUUCAUAGAUAUCAACGGGUAUAGCUGAAAAUCUGUUAGUACUGUAUGGCACCCAACCACUAUUCACUGGCAGUAAUUAAAUCCUGAUGUAAAUAUUUCUCAAAAACAGGAACAGAUGUUUUUGGUUUUGCAACCAAGCAAUGACGAAAAUCUGACAAGUUCCAUAAACCAUAGAAGUGGGCACUUCAGAGAAAAUUUCCUCUAUGAUUUUGCUACCAUGCAGUCUCAAUUUACCAGCAAUAUUACACAGAUAAAACACAACCAUUUUCUGGUAUUACUAUUCUUGUCUUCAGUAACACAGUAAGUGUCAUGGGAACUGACAAAAGAAAAAAAAAAAACAAUAAUCGUAAUAAUGAGGCAUGAGGCUUACAAAUCUACAUUUCUGUUUUCAAACCAUAAUAAAUUAGCACAAUCACUCA